UUUCAUUGGAGGUUUUUGAAGAUCAAGGGGAUUAGAGAGAGGAGCUUCAUGCUUCGGGUCGGGCAAGGAAAGACAUAGAAUUUGGAUUUUUCUUCUUCAUAGAGUUUUGAGAAGACUGAGGCAAUCGCUGUUGAAGUCAGUAUUGUAAUGGUGAAUGGGGAUUUUUAAUGAAGUAGGUUUGAAUACUCUUGACUGUUUUGUGAAAUCGAGUUACGUCUGUGAUUGAAGGAUUAAAAGGGUGUCUAUAGGAUUGAGUAUGCGGAGUGAAU
rnacentral:lncRNA from 1 species